UCGGACGUCGCUGCUUUGACGUCCGUGGAGACCUUUUUGGGUAUCGUCUAUUGUUUCGACUUCUAUAUUGUACCGGUCGAGAUCCGAGUUACGUGUCGUAUACUCGUAUGUUAUAUUAUAAUCGUCAAUCGCCGUCAUUAAUAAUUGCUGUGUCGCGCGCGUAGUACGUACGUAAUAUUACAUUGUUGUAGCGUAUCGCGUACAUGUUACGUAAGUUCAACAGGCUAAGCCGCCGCCGAUCUAUUUGAGUGUCAGGUAUAGUGCGUUGUACGGGAAGCCGCCGCCGUCCGUUCCACCGUCGACUGAAGGCCGUGGCCGCCGCCGCCGCCGAACUAUUUCCAUAUUAAUUGAGUUAUCAUAAUAUCGGUCUGCGCCGCCGAUCAGCUGAUCGCCUAUAAUUGUCACGUCCAGCCACCUCCGACGACCAUCGCCGCCGCCGCCGCCGCCGCCGCCGCCCGACAAUAACAACAUCAUCGCUGUCGCCGUUGCACUGAGAUAAGGUCUCCCCCGGUGACGAGGACACGAUGACUAGCCAACUGGUGGAGGUAGACUCGGAGGCGCCGGCCCGGAUACUGGGAGUGAUGAAGAAGAACGAUUCGCUGUCGUACGUGUUCGAGGUGGAAGAGGAACCGUCGGAUAUCGCCACUCGGCUGGUGCGCCGGGCCAGCAGUCUGCGGUCGGUGGGCAAGUCACGGACGCGUGCGCGCGGACCGACUGGCGGCGAGAAGCGGUCCCGGGCCAGAUCGCAGUCGGGCGGCGGGUCGUCCGACAAGUCGGUGGAACUGGACUCGGCGCUCACCCGGAACCUGGACGAACUGUUCGCGCCCGGCCCGAACGACCGGUACCUGAACGGCUGUUUCACGUAAAGCUCGGACUCCUCCAACUCGUCACCGGAGCACCACCUCCACAACGUGGUGCAGACCUACGAACAGAACCACGGUCCGUCCUAUGUACAGGUGGUCGCCGAGCAGACCGGCGGUGGUGAUAAGGCCCAGGGCGGUGGGCUGACCAUCGUCUGAGAAGAUAAUAUUUUGGUCGUCUUCGUACGGAUGGGUGACGGGAGGGAUGGAAGGAAAGUCCUGAGGGAUAGAUCCUUAUAAUAUCAUGUUCGCGCACAAUACGCAUUCUCUGUUAGACUUAUUUUUCUCUCGUUAGAUUGUGCCAAAUACCGUAAGAAAGUUGUUCACAAUUCACAAUCCAUGUUUAUAUUAUAAUUUUAUAAUGUGUGUUUAAUGUAAAAAUCAAAAUACCUUUUACUUUUUACCGCUAACGUCGUUUUGAAUUUUUAUUAUGAUUUUAUUUUGUUUUACAAAAGCGCGAGCGUGUGUGUAUUUUUUCUCUAGUAACUCUUAAGACUGAAUUCUUUAAAAAAAAAAAAUUGACCGAGUCUUGGGGAGAAUUUUUUUUUUUUUU